rnacentral:rRNA from 1 species
AUUGAACGCUGGCGGCAGGCCUAACACAUGCAAGUCGAACGAGUGGCGGACGGGUGAGUAAUGUCUGGGAAACUGACUGAUGGAGGGGGAUAACUACUGGAAACGGUAGCUAAUACCGCAUACCAUCGGAUGUGCCCAGAUGGGAUGGGCGAGUAGGUGGGGUAAAGGCUCACCUAGGCGACGAUCCCGCGCUGGUCUGAGAGGAUGAACAGCCACACUGGAACUGAGACACGGUCCAGACUCCUACGUGAGGCAGCAGGGGGGAAUAUUGCACAAUGGGCGCAAGCCUGAUGCAGCCAUGCCGCGUGUAUGAAGAAGGCCUUCGGGUUGUAAAGUACUUUCAGCGGGGAGGCGUUACCCGCAGAAGAAGCACCGGCUAACUCCGUGCCAGCAGCCGCGGUAAUUC